ACUCGAGACGGCGGGGUAGAGGCCCGCCGCGGUAACGACGGGUAACGGGGGAAUCAGGGUUCGAUUCCGGAGAGGGAGCCCGAGAAACGGCUACCACUUCCAAGGAAGGCAGCAGGCGCGCAACUUACCCUAAUCUCGAUUCGAGGAGGUAGUGACAAGAAAUACCGAUGCGGGACCCUACGGGUGCCGCGUUCGGAAUGAGUACGAUUCGAACCACCUAACGAGGAACGAUCGGAGGGCAAGUCUGGUGCCAGCAGCCGCGGUAAUUCCAGCUCCAAUAGCGUACGUUAAAGUUGCUGCAGUUAAAAAGCUCGUAGUUGAACGUUCGGGUUCCGCGGGACGGGGCCGCCCCGCGAGGGACGGCGCCGCCCCGGGGCUCGUGAUAUCUCAUCUCGCCGCCCGUCGCGAGGCGGACGGAGGGAUGGAUGAGGUUACCUGGAAAAAAUCGGG
rnacentral:rRNA from 1 species